GGGCAGUGGCCUGUGCCAGGCAAAGCGAACAAGCUGAGCUACCCAGGCCAGGCCCAGGGUGUGUGAAAGCGGGCAGCUGCCUGCUCUGGCAUGAGGGAGCAAACCUAAUCAGCCAGGCCAGACCUAAGGCGUGUGGGUGCAGGCAGCUGCCUGCUCCAGCUGGAGGGAGCAAACCCAGCCACCCAGGCCAGGCCUAAGGUGCGUGGGUGCCAGGCAGAAGGAACAAGCUGAGCCGCCCAGGCCUAGUCCAAGGCUUAUGGGUGUGGGUAGUGGCCUACUCCAGUGCGAGGACGCACACAGCGGCUUGGGCCUCCUGCGUGCCAGGCUGCUGGGGCCUGAGGUCACCCCUCGCACGAGCCCUGCCAGGCCAGGCCAGGGCAGGAGGGUGAAGUUGGGCGUGUGGGUGAACUUGAAGGGGAAAUAAAAUGUUUGCGUAGUCCCACACCAGGGAUGCAAAAAUGGGGUUACUGAAGAGAUGGCAGCGUGCACGUUCUGCGGGAUCAGAAGGGCAGCAGUUGGGAUGCAGAGCUGCAGGGUGCCCAGGAAGUUGUUGGCCUGCCGUGUGGUUCCCUGGAUGUGGAAUGGAGAAGACAUAGUUUAGUAUUUAAAAACAGUCAUUUAUGUAAAACUUGUGGGUAGAUCUGUAGUGUAUGUUAGGGGCCAUGUGACUACUUUGUGUGUUAGCGGGUCUUCACUGCUGAGCUAAACUCCUGGUAGCCUCGGGGUAAGUCUGGGUCUGUAGGUAAUUGGUAUAACCUUAUUAACUUUGCUUUGUAUCCCAGGAUGAUCCAGAAGACAGAGUAGAUUGCUUUUAAAAUACUACAUUUCAAUGUAUAUCCUAUGUAUGCAUGCCAGGGAGCAGAAACUUGUGUUUCCUCCAUCUCUCCAUGAUGUUUCUUGGCAAACGCACUGAGUAGUGCAAUUGAACAAUGUCACACUCAAUGAAGAUGACACAUAUUUCUUUGUGGAGGUUUGCCAAUGUAUUUAUCAUUGUAUAUUCUGGAGAAGAAACCAUGUGCGAACAGUGGUCAACCCUGCUAGCAGUGCUCCACACGUGAAGGUUGUGAUCCUGAGGAAAACAAGAUCAAGUAGCGUCUCUGUCCGAAUCCCUGCACGCUUCAGAAUGUCGUUUGUGCCAUACUUUGGACAAUUUUGAACAGCAUAGGAGAGGUAGCCUUUGAACAAAAGAGUCGGUGUGUGUGGAUAAUAUUAACAGAAAAGGAGUUGUAUGUACUGAAAAUAAACGCUGAAGCCUAA